rnacentral:rRNA from 1 species
GACGAACCCUGGCGGCGUGCCUAAUACAUGCAAGUCGAGCGGACCGAACAGGAGCUUGCUCUUGUUCGGUUAGCGGCGGACGGGUGAGUAACACGUGGGUAACCUGCCCGUAAGACCGGGAUAACUCCGGGAAACCGGAGCUAAUACCGGAUAACACCGAAGACCGCAUGGUCUUUGGUUGAAAGGCGGCUUCGGCUGCCACUUACGGAUGGGCCCGCGGCGCAUUAGCUAGUUGGUGAGGUAACGGCUCACCAAGGCGACGAUGCGUAGCCGGCCUGAGAGGGUGACCGGCCACACUGGGACUGAGACACGGCCCAGACUCCUACGGGAGGCAGCAGUAGGGAAUCUUCCGCAAUGGACGAAAGUCUGACGGAGCGACGCCGCGUGAGCGAAGAAGGUCUUCGGAUCGUAAAGCUCUGUUGUUAGGGAAGAAGAAGCGUCGUUCGAACAGGGCGGCGCGGUGACGGUACCUAACGAGAAAGCCCCGGCUAACUACGUG